GCAAUUGAUUGAAUAAUUACAUAUAAUAAAUAGUCUGCAUAUUUUCAGAGAACAUCUGAGCGAAGGAUUUCCUUUUUUUGCAGCCUGGGGAGAUCCAUUUUAGUUUACACCAUUUCAUACUGUGUUUUGAAUGUGUCAAAUUGUAGACAUUUCUCUUAAAGGAGCACUACCCUGCCUCUUUACCUAUUAAACAAUCCAAGUCCUUAACCCCUUAAGGACACAUGACAUGUGUGACAUGUCAUGAUUCCCUUUUAUUCCAG